GACGAACGCUGGCGGCGUGCUUAACACAUGCAAGUCGAACGGUAAAGCCCUGCUUUUGUGGUCUGCUCGAGUCGCGAACGGAAGAGUAACACGUGAUUAACCUGCCCUUGGCUUUGCUAUAACUUCAUGAAGCUGGGACUAAUACCUUAUAGCUUCUCCUGCGGCAUGGUGUGGGUUGGAAAUUUGCGUCGGGUGGGGAUGGACUCGCGGCUUAUCAGCUUGUUGGUGGGGUAGUGGCUUACCAAGGCCUUGACGGGUAGCCGGCCUGAGAGGGUGACCGGCCACACUGGGACUGAGAUACGGCCCAGACUCCUACGGGAGGCAGCAGUGGGGAAUAUUGCACAAUGGGCGGAAGCCUGAUGCAGCAACGCCGCGUGCGGGAUGACGGCCUUCGGGUUGUAAACCGCUUUCGCCUGUGACGAAGCGCGAGUGACGGUAAUGGGUAAAGAAGCACCGGCUAACUACGUG
rnacentral:rRNA from 1 species